rnacentral:lncRNA from 10 species
UGCAACCUUUCUUGUGAAACUACUUGAGGAUGUGCUCCAUCAAAACAAGAUAGUAAACCAAGACAUAGGAAGAUAUGAAGUACAGGAAACAGAGUCAACACAGGAAGGAGAAUAAGGAAUUUCCCUCCAGGAUGGCAAAGGAGAUCCCAGGGUGAUAGCUGCACCAGGAGUUGAGAGUACCCAGUCUAGAUUGGAGCUGUGUGAUUCAAGAGACAGACAUGUUAAAGGAUGUUUGAGCAAUACCCCUGAAGCCAUGGAAUGGUUUUGUGAAUCUGAGGACAGAAUGGCCAGGUCUUAUUAAGAGUCCUGUGAAGUGGAGGGAAUUGGGGGUCAGACAGGACUUGUUGCAGAGCACUGGGUAAGGAGUGGCAUUUCUACAGCUUCUUCAGCUGAGU